rnacentral:rRNA from 1 species
UGGGGAAUCUUGCGCAAUGGGCGAAAGCCUGACGCAGCCAUGCCACGUGAAUGAUGAAGGUCUUAGGAUUGUAAAAUUCUUUCACCGGGGACGAUAAUGACGGUACCCGGAGAAGAAGCCCCGGCUAACUUCGUGCCAGCAGCCGCGGUAAUACGAAGGGGGCUAUCGUUGCUCGGAAUUACUGGGCGUAAAGGGAGCGUAGGCGGACAUUUAAGUCAGGGGUGAAAUCCCGGGGCUCAACCUCGGAAUUGCCUUUGAUACUGGGUGUCUUGAGUAUGAGAGAGGUGUGUGGAACUCCGAGUGUAGAGGUGAAAUUCGUAGAUAUUCGGAAGAACACCAGUGGCGAAGGCGACACACUGGCUCAUUACUGACGCUGAGGCUCGAAAGCGUGGGGAGCAAACAGGAUUAGAUACCCUGGUAGUCCACGCCGUAAACGAUGAUUGCUAGUUGUCGGGAUGCAUGCAUUUCGGUGACGCAGCUAACGCAUUAAGCAAUCCGCCUGGGGAGUACGGUCGCAAGAUUA